rnacentral:rRNA from 1 species
UACGGAGGGUGCAAGCGUUAUCCGGAUUCACUGGGUUUAAAGGGUGCGUAGGCGGGCAGGUAAGUCCGUGGUGAAAUCUCUGAGCUUAACUCAGAAACUGCCAUGGAUACUAUUUGUCUUGAAUGUUGUGGAGGUAAGCGGAAUAUGUCAUGUAGCGGUGAAAUGCUUAGAUAUGACAUAGAACACCAAUUGCGAAGGCAGCUUACUACAGGGACAUUGACACUGAGGCACGAAAGCGUGGGGAUCAAACAGG